UACGUAGGGGGCAAGCGUUGUCCGGAUUUAUUGGGCGUAAAGAGCGUGUAGGCGGUUUGGUAGGUCCGCUGUGAAAACUCGAGGCUCAACCUCGAGACGCCGGUGGAAACCAUCAGACUAGAGUCCGGAAGAGGAGAGUGGAAUUCCCGGUGAAGCAGUGAAAUGCACAGAGAUCGGGAAGAACACCAGUGGCGAAGGCGCUCUACUAGGCCGUGACUGACACUGAGAGACGAUAGCUAGGGGAGCGAAUAGG
rnacentral:rRNA from 1 species